GACAGAGGUGCCAAGCGUUAGGCGGAAUCAUUGGGCUUAAAGGGCGCGUAGGCGGGCCCGCAAGUCAGGGGUGAAAUCCCACGGCUCAACCGUGGAAGUGCCUCUGAUACUGCGGGCCUCGAGGGGGGUAGGGGCGUGCGGAACUUCCGGUGGAGCGGUGAAAUGCGUAGAUAUCGGAAGGAACACCGGUGGCGAAAGCGGCGCGCUGGACCCCUUCUGACGCUGAGGCGCGAAAGCCAGGGGAGCAAACGGG
rnacentral:rRNA from 1 species